rnacentral:tRNA from 1 species
GCCGGGCUGGCGGAAGGGUAGACGCAUGGGACUUAAAAUCCUGUGGACGAAAGUCCGUGCGGGUUCGAUUCCCGCGCCCGGCACCA